CUUUGCAUUGAAGCACUCUUGUGCAUCAAUGCCCAAAAUUUCAGGAACUUUGAAUCCCAGUCAAGAAUUGUUAAGACAGAUAACUGGCAAAUAUUGGCUCUCAAUAGUGAAUCUUGGAGAUAUCAUGUUGCUCUUCCCUUUCUCGUAGCAAUACCAGAUGUGUUGAGUCAUCUAUCAGCAGGAUCGUGUCAUGUUUUACAAUAUCACCUUUCUAAAUAAGGCAAGCCUCGGAGGACAACGUUGGUUAUUGAUCUGAUCUGAGAGCCCCUGACACAGCAAAUCGCAUCAACCCAGGCUGCAAAGCAACUCAAGGUUACGUCAGUUGCUGAAAACUAGGCUCAAAGCACACUUAGUUAAGUCCACCUGAGAGAAGAGAGAAAGAACCAGUAUCUUGCCUUUGCCAGUCUAUGCCAAUCUAAAGUAGCAUGCCAGUGGAACAUCUAUGAAUGAUUUGUACACCACAGUCUUGUGAUGUCUCAAGCACCUUUGGCCCCUGACCCCACAGCCAUUGCUGUCCAAAAUGAAGAGGAUUGGGUUUUUUCCCAAGUGAGCAGGAUUCAGUUCCUUUCCAGAUGCCUUCUGUUGACAUUUUCGUGCCAGAGCCAAUUAAAGAUGGCCUUGAGAAGGAGCCGGCUCUUCCCGGCUCUCCGGAGGAGUUACCGUUCAAUAGAAGGGCUUUUUUGAAAACAGACCGCUCUCUAAGGCAAUCUGUAAAGAGAAGUGUCAGAUUAGCAGAGCGAGGCUAUUGUGGCUGAACCCAGUUCUCUUGGGAAGAAUUAGGGAGGGAGGCAUCUGGCAUGAUGUUUUGGAGGUCCAGUUCUAUUGGGAAGUUUUGGGGAGUUUAACACCUGGUUUGGGGGAGCUAUGAACUUCAAUAAAAGUUGUGCGCAGAAAAUCUUCUGUGCGAUGGCAACUUAACUUUGGAAUAAGAAGUAGCGUCGUCUCUCGUUCCUGAUUUUCCAAGCGGCCUGAUGGUGCGCUUACUCUGGAGUAGACCAGGUGUUGGUUCACCUUCUUGCCAUGAUGGGACUGCGUUUCAGCUCCUGAACUUACAACUUGCCUUGCCUUGAAACCCUGUUUGGAACAUUUCUUCUAAGGACUCUUCUUGCUCUGCUUAUUUCCCCACUCAAAACUCAGGUGGAGUUUGAGUGUGUUUCGAAUAUUGGAUUUUGAACUCUAAUACCAGACAUCAGACUUUAUAUUAUUGGACUAAAAUUGAUCUUUCCUGGAAGGUCAAUUGCUACUUCUAUGUAACUGCUUAUUUCCAUUUGGAACUUUUAUUGCUUUAAUAAAGAUAUUAUAUUGUUA